rnacentral:misc_RNA from 1 species
GUGAGUACUACAAAGUUCUUUUGAAGGAGAUAUAGAUCUAAUUGGUUGAUUAUGAUAACUACACAUUCACAAAAAUAAAUAUGAAAUAAAUGCCAAAUAUAUAAUAUAUGUUGAUGAAUAAAAGAUACGAGUAUUUAGUUUUGCUUGCGAGCAAAAGGCAAAAUAGCUUUUUGCAAUUUCAACGAAUAGAUGCAAAUUUUAAUAAUAGAAGAUGCUACCAAUUAAAUAAAUUUAAAAUUAUUAAUGGAGAACUUUAGAGAAACAAUAAGAUUUUAUAAAAUCCAAAUGAAAAUAUUAUCGCGAAACUAAAUGGCAUUCAAAAAAAAUUAUCAAUGUGAAUUUUUAUAGAAUUUAAAAAAAUGCUAUUAAUAUGGAUCUUUAUAG